GACGGAGGAUGCAAGCGUUAUCCGGAAUUAUUGGGCGUAAAGCGUCCGCAGGUGGCUGUUCAAGUCUGCUGUCAAAGCGCAGAGCUUAACUCUGUACAGGCAGUGGAAACUGAACAGCUAGAGUAUGGUAGGGGCAGAGGGAAUUCCUGGUGUAGCGGUGAAAUGCGUAGAGAUCAGGAAGAACAUCGGUGGCGAAGGCGCUCUGCUGGACCAUAACUGACACUCAGGGACGAAAGCUAGGGGAGCGAAUGGG
rnacentral:rRNA from 1 species